AAAAAUGUCGGUUAGUGUUCUCUUAAACAAGUUUCACGUUUGCUUUAGUUAUAUCAUACUCAUUGUUAUUGGGUGAACCUUAGUAAAUUAUUUUUUUUUCAUUGCAUAAGGUUCAUGAAACAAUGAGACAUUA